UAAUCCGAUAUCGAUUGUGAAAUUGUAGGACCGAAAGGAGUAGCCCACUGGAUUUUGCAGAUUCAGUUUCUGUCAAAAUUUUACAUAACGUUUGAUUUCCAAAAGAAGUGCGAAAUUGUGCUAUUAACGGAGGAAGAACGUAGAAGAGAGAAGAAUAAACUAAGGAGAAGAUUUAAUAUAGAGGGAUGGCGGUUUGGAGCAAAAUAUCUUAGAUUUUUUUUUAUUAUAUUAAUUUACUAACUUGGUGACCAAGUUAGAUUAUUUAAAAAAAAAUUUCUUUUUUUUUCCGGUUGUUACAAUAAGUCUUGUCAUUUUCUACAUGCAGAUAAUUAAAAUGAAAUCAGCUUUUCUAA